ACACGCCGCGUGAGUGAUGAAGGCUUUCGGGUCGUAAACUCUGUUGUUAGGGAAGAACAAGUACAAGAGUAACUGCUUGUACCUUGACGGUACCUAACCAGAAAGCCACGGCUAACUACGUGCCAGCAGCCGCGGUAAUACGUAGGUGGCAAGCGUUAUCCGGAAUUAUUGGGCGUAAAGCGCGCGCAGGCGGUUUCUUAAGUCUGAUGUGAAAGCCCACGGCUCAACCGUGGAGGGUCAUUGGAAACUGGGGAACUUGAGUGCAGAAGAGAAAAGCGGAAUUCCACGUGUAGCGGUGAAAUGCGUAGAGAUGUGGAGGAACACCAGUGGCGAAGGCGGCUUUUUGGUCUGUAACUGACGCUGAGGCGCGAAAGCGUGGGGAGCAAACAGGAUUAGAUACCCCGGUAGAA
rnacentral:rRNA from 1 species